UUUGUUAUACGUUUGAGUGUUAGAGGCUGUGAAUUCUAAUAAUGUUCUUCAGUACACAAUUUCUAUUGCGUUCUUUGCUAGUUGGACUUGGAUAAGUAUUCUCACUAGGUUAGCAAGAAUUUUGUAUUGCCAGAAAAAAAUGUUGAAUACUCUAUUAUAACGAUAUAAUUUUUCCCCUAUUGUUAUUGUUCAGAGACGAUUUACAUAACGGACCCCCAACUUAUUUUGGAUUGAGGCGCAGUUGUUGCAGUUUGCUGUUCUCCCCGCCCUAAUGUUAUUGGUAACUGAGCAGCUCUUGCUUGUACAUUGCAGUAUCUAAAGAUGAACUAUAGGCAUGCGAAGCAUUUCAUAUUAAUGAUAUAAUGAAAGGCAGCCCGAGCAAAGUGCACGAGGUUAUGCUGGCUUUAUGGAGGAAUUUUUGGUACGGUAAAGCUCAACCCCCCACCCCCCACCCACAAGAAGCUUAGCCAUGAUCCUUUUCUGCUUUGUUCCCUCAUUAAUACGAAUAUCGCUAGCUAGACUUUUACUCCCUUCUCGGCUUGUCUUUUAGACUUAUUGUGCAAAGAUUCAUGAUUUGAUCUUCUAACGUUUAGGUAGUAGUAGAGAAACUUCAAUUUAAUUAGCUCGUACUUGAAUUAGAAUUAUUAUCUUCUCUUUUGUCUAUGUGACAUUUAUCUGGAACUUGAAAUGUAAGUUUACUCCAUUUUACUGGAUUUCCAGAAACGUCUCUUGCAGUUCAUUUGAUAUACAAGAGUACAAUGCUUGAUAGCAUGAUGAUUCAUUUAGGGGUCGUUUGGUUGGGAAACAAGUUACCCCAGGAUUAAUUUUCCCGAGAUUGUUCUCCCACCCUCUUGAAGGGAAAAAUAUAUCUCAAAUUUAAUCCCGUCCCUUAUCCCUUGUACCAAACAAGCCCUUAGUUUCUUAAUUUCACUUAGGUGAAUCUAAUGAGAUGAUAAAUAUUUGACCACUUGUUGUCAAAGCCAGUGUAACAUUGAGAUGACUUGCAUUUUUAUUAUAAAUUGUUCUGUUAAUCCAUCAGUCAGCUAAACCUCACCCUUAGAAUAGCUAGUUGGUGGCACGUAUACAAAUCUUGGAUAUUGUUAAGAAAAUAGAACUUGGGUCUAAUUCAACUCCAAAAGUUAGCUCAGGAGGUGAGAUUGACCCAAUUAGAGCGCCAAUUGAUGUGGGCUGCUAUAAAAUCCCCUUGCACCCUAAUACAUGGAUAUUAGAGCGUGGUUAUAAUAUAGGGCACAAACAUUAGGAAACACAUCAACUGGACUGAGGCAUAGUUGUUGUUGUAGCUGUUCUCCUGUGCCUAAUGUUAUUGGUAACCAAGCAGCUCUUGCUUGUACAAUGCAGAAUCUAAAGAUGAACUAUUGGCAUGCCAAGCAUUUCAUAUUAAUGAUAAGAAGAAAAGCAGCCAGAGCAAAACGCACGAGGUUAUGCUGGCUUUAGGAGGAAUUUUUCGAUACGCUAAACCUCACUCGAUUUCUCCCCCUAAAUCCCUUACCUAGAAUAUUAGCGGUGACCCUUUUCUGCUUUGUUCCCUCGUUGAUAUGGAUGCUGCUAGGUUUUUCUCCCUUCUCGGCUUGUCUUUUAGGCUUGUUGUGCAAAGAUUCAUGAAUUGAUCUUCUAACAUUUAGGUAAUAGUAGAGCAAUUUCAAUUUAAUUAGCUCUUACUUGAAUUAGAAUUAUUAUCUUCUCUUUUGUCCAUGCGACAUUUUUCUGGAACUUGAAAUGUAAGUUUACACCAUUUCACUUGAUUUUAGAACUUGUCAUCAUGCAUUGCUAAAAUCUCUCCGCUCUAGCUAUUCAUACUUCUAGCAACGUCUCUCUUGCAGUUCAUUGAUGUACCAAGAUUACAAUGCUUGAUAGCAUGAUGAUUCGUUUAAUUUCUUAAUUUCACUUGGGUGAAUCUGAUGAGAUGAUAAAUGUCUGACCACUUGUUGUCAAGACCAGUGUAACAUUGAUGCGACUUGCAAAUUUUUGUAUAAAUUGUUAUGUUAAUCCAUCAAUCAAUUAAACGUCACCCCUAGAAUAGCUAGUUGGUGGCAUCUAUACAAAUCUUGGAUAUUGUUCGGUCUAGUUUAACCCCAAAUUAAGUUAGCUCAUGAGGUGAGAUUUACUUGAUUAGAUCAUAUAAGGAGACAAUAUCCCCUCCGUCGACCGAUGUGGAACAUGACGCUCAGACAUGGAUUAAUUAGAGUGUGGUUAAUAUAGGGCACAAACAUUAGGAAACACAUCAAGGGAUGGGCCUGGUGCUAAUACCAUGUUAAGAAAAUUGACCUUUAGUAUAUUGCAACUUCAAAAAGAUAGCUAAUGAGAUGAGAAUUGUCCAAAACUAUACGAGGAGACAACUCCUCAUUUCUUCAACCAAUGUGUGAUACUCUUAACAUAUAUCAAUAAAAUGAUAUUUGAUUAAUUAACAAAAAAAGUGGAAGGGAGCCUUGGCGUAACGGGUAUAGUUGCUGCCGUGUGACCUCGAGCCGUAGAAACAGCCUCUUGUAGAAAAUAUAGGGUAAGGCUGCGUACAAUAGACCAUUGUGGCCCGGUCCUUUACUGGACUCCCUGCACAACGAGAGCUUAGUGCACUGGGCUGCCCUUUUAACGAAAAAACUACUGUCGAUUUACUAACUUCAACUCUUGGAUUCCAAGAUUGUCUUCUCCAGUUGUUUCUAUUCCUUUUUUUUCUCCUCUAAAUUAUGCUCUACUUUUUACUGCUCUAGGAAGAUGCUGGCUACCCAUUUCCUUGGCUGAGCUUGGAGUUCUGUAAGCUGUAAGUUUGUUAAGCUUCAUUUACAAAGUUGUUACAGGAGUAUGCGUAAUUUAACAUUUAUCUGAAGUGACAAUUUUUAUCCAAAUAGCAUAAUAAAUUAAACUGCAAGAUAAGGCAUGUAAAGUUAUAUUGAAUAUAUAGUUAUAUUUAGUCCUUCAAAAUGCCAACUAAGGGCAGUCCGGUGUACUAAGCUCCCGCUAUGCGUGGGGUCCGGGUAAGGGUCGGACCACAAGGGUCUAUCGUACGCAGCCUUACCCUGCAUUUUUGCAAGAGGCUAUUUUCACGGCUCGAACCCGUGACCUCCUUCAAAAUGCCAAUUGUUUACUAAUAUUUGGCCAAAAGAUAAUACUCCUAUAAGUUUAUGCAAUCUCAUAAAUGAAAAACUUUUUUCUAUUCAAUACACUGUGUUCAUGAUUAAAUCUUCAGCCAACUGUUUCUAAUUCAUGUCUUGGUGCUUCCCAAUGGAGCUUUUUUGUAUUUUUUUUGAAUAUAUUUUUACGUCAUUGCCAUCGUUUCCUUAUCACAUGGUUCUAAAGCUUCUAGUAUUUUAAAGAAUUGGAUAAGCAAAACAUAAAACCAGUAAAAUGAUCAGCUGAUGAUAGGAUUGAAUGUACUAUAUAUUACGUGAUGGUAGUUUCUUCACUUCCUAGCAAAAUUGUGAAUUCAUAAUCUUUAUCUGAUUGUCUAAAAGCUAUUUCCAGUAAAGAAUAAAAUGCAUAAAAUAAUGGAAAAGAUUAAUAAUAGGCAUGCUGUGUAACCUUUGGAAGAACAUAUGCAGUGCAAAGUAUGGAGGAAAGUCAUCCUCCGUGGCCAGGGUCUUGUUCUCUAGUAACUCAGAUGUUUCAGCGAUGCUGAGAACCUGUUUCCCUCAUAUCACAUGGCCGUUCAACUGGAAUGAACUAAAACCGAUAGUUGAACAAAUUAAGAACCACACCUCUGUCAUUCAAGUCAUCUGGCAAAGACCUGAAACAAAUUUUGUGAAGGUCAAUAGUGAUGGGAGUGCUUUGAGUAAUCCAGGUAGAAUUGGGUUCGAGUCAUUGAGGGGAAGAGUGGGAAAAACCACUAUCGGUCUCUAGUGAGCGGGUAUACCAAAUCAAAAGGAAAAAAGAAGAAAUAAGUUAUUUGGGCCUUUUGGUGACUGGGGUUUACUAAAUUCCAUAUUGUCGAAAGAAAUAUAGUCCUAUUUCUAGUUUAUGUCAAGUCACUACGUAUAUCAAGUUUGCAAGGUGGGCUAUGUCAAGUCGUAACGUAGUCGAGUUUGGAAGGUGGGCUAUGUCAAGUCGCAACAUAUGUCAAGUUUGCAAGGUGGGCUAUGUCAAGUCGCAACGUAGUCAAGUUUGGAAGGUGGGCUAUGUCAAGUCGCAACGUAUGUCAAGUUUGUAAGGUGGGAUUUACCAAAUGCCAUACAUCGAAAAGAAUAUAGUCCUAUUGCAAGUCGAAAUUUACAAUCUAUACCACUUGGAUAUAUAAUUCAAAGGUCUAGAUUUAAUUUUGUGCAUUGAUUGACUCUUUUGUAGGGAUAAGGCUGGGGUAAGGCUACGUACAUCUCAUCCUCCCUAAACCGCACUUGUGGGAAUACACUGAGUUGUUAUUGUUGUCGUUGUUGUUGUUGUUGAUCGACUCUUUUGUAGUUAUAUUCUAUGACAAUUUGGUUUUAUGUCUUCACGUGGUGGUCUAGAAUGGCUUGGAGCGCUCUAAUGCCAGGCUAGAUGUUAUGAUUGCUUUAUAAGCGAGGUAAAACAUGAUAGAUAAUGGUAAGGAAGGGAUAAAUUAGUCACUUCACUUAUUGGAAGUUUUUUAAUGGUGAUUAGUGUCCAGAAGGGGAAAAAAUAAAGGAGCAGAAGUUUGUUAAUCUUGUGCAUUAAUUAGAGAAUGUGUAUAUAGGUAGUUAAGCUAUUCUUUGUUAAAAUGAUAUUUGCAGGGAUUUGGAUGCUGAAGCGGAGGGAUGAAAAUCAGUGUAACCUUAAUUCAAGUAUGAUUAAGGUAAGUGAUCCAUUCUCCUACAUUGUUACGUUUCGUAUCCCUCUCCCACACUCCACUCACUUAUAAGCAUGGGACUUGUUUAUGCAGAAAAAUCACAUCUUCAAGUGAGUUUCGGAUACCGGAUGCAUUAAAAAAAAAUAUUUUCAUUUUUUCCUAAAAAAGCAUUUAAAAUGAAGUCUAUGUGCGAAAUGGGGCUUAAAUAGCAACUGACUCCGCAUCUGGGGUCCGCGCAACGCCACCUCUAAGACGAGCUUCUGCAACCUGAUAUUCCAAAACCUCUCUCGAACACCCCAAAUCUCACCGAGACCCCCGGAAUCCCGUCCAAUCAUUACAAUAAGUUUGUGUAGUAUACCAUAUACAAACUUGUCCAAGAGCUCAAAACAUAUUCGGAAACUUCACAUCUAAGAGUCAAGAUCCAAACCAAAAUAUAAACUUUCUCUUAAGUUCUUCAAGUUUCAAUUUUCACAAGAUAGACCCGAAUCACAUCCAAGCCCUUCGGUUCACCUCUCAACCAUUCCAACAAGUCCAAGAGAGAUUCAUGAUUGUUCAUGGUUCAUUCUUAGCUCUUCAAUGUAAAAUUAAAAUUUCAAAUUGGAGACCGGUUAAAAGUCUUUUCUGGAACAUUGAUUGCACUAUUAACAGCUUUAGGACCUUGACAGUCCCCAUCUAGACUGCCUAUGUGUUUAACCAAAUUUGCACCAUUUUGAACAUGUCCUGCCCCUCCUUGACAAUUCUGCCCAGAAACAGCAACAACUGCAUCAGCACUAACCUUCAAAGCAACAGCUGGGAGUUUGAGUUUCAAUGAACCUGCUGCAUUACCUACUGAUAUUCCUUGAUUAUCAGUAGUUAAAUCCAACACUUGCACAUCUGCUCGAUCACCAACUUCCUUUCGCCCAGCAGUAGCCACAAAACUUUGUUUUCCUCCUUCAUUUUGCAAAAGUUGCUGAUUUUCUACUGUUAAGAAUUUUUUUGGAGAUGGCGGACCAUUUAGCUGGUUGAAUCAUUUAUCCUGCUUCAUGAGCCACUUGUGUUUCUUAAAAAAAGAAAAGGUCCUUAGCUUCUAGAUUGAUUGUGCUAUUUAAGGAUGAACUAUGUGACUUGAGUGAUCAAUUAAGUUAUGAGAAUAAUCGGUCAUAUAUAUCUGAAUCGCUUGUACCGAAGAACAUGAGUGAUCCAUAAUGAAGAUGGGACUGUUCUUUUGCUACGAAAUAAACGAGUAAUUACUUGCCAGUAGUCAAAAUCAGAUACAAUGGCUCCAAGCAAUUACUUGCUAGCUUUAUGCAUUCUCUUGUUCCUUGUAGCAGCCACCAACAUUGCUUAUGCAAACAACAGUUAUGGAAAUGGACCUAAUUUGCUUGUUCCUAAGCCGCAGUAUGUUCAGUUGUUGGUUAUAAUGUUGUUUUUCGUAAUAGCAUAUUCUGUUGUUGUUUUGGUUCAAUAGCUGUCAGACAUAAUAUUGUUUAGAUGGUGUUGUUUUGGUUCAGUAAUUUGUGCUUGAAGCUGCUUUAAGUACUUUAUGACUCAAUUAUCCUAAAAAUUUUGUUUAAUUAUUUCUCAUUGUCUUUUGCAGGUGCAGUGAUUGCGGAUGAAAGCAGUGACGAAGACUUUACUUGAGUGUUGUUGAUCGUUAUUAGACUUUCUAUUAUUAUGUUUAAGGAUAUUUUAGUUUAGAAUUUUUUGUAUGCAAACUCAUCUAUUUUGACUUUUGAAUUGUUGACCAAACAAACAAUGUAUCCAUAUUUUGUUUUUGCACAUGGAUAAUGCUAGUUGGAUAUGGUGUAAACAAUUUCAUAGAAUAGGA
rnacentral:lncRNA from 1 species